GACGUAGGGCGCGAGCGUUGUCCGGAUUUAUUGGGCGUAAAGGGCUCGUAGGCGGUUUGUCGCGUCGGGUGUGAAAACGCCGGGCUUAACUCGGUGCUUGCUUUCGAUACGGGCAGACCAGAGGCAUGCAGGGGAGAACGGAAUUCCUGGUGUAGCGGUGAAAUGCGCAGAUAUCAGGAGGAACACCGGUGGCGAAGGCGGUUCUCUGGGCAUGUCCUGACGCUGAGGAGCGAAAGUGUGGGGAGCGAACAGG
rnacentral:rRNA from 1 species